AUUGAACGCUGGCGGCAUGCUUUACACAUGCAAGUCGAGCGGCAGCGCGGGGCAACCUGGCGGCGAGCGGCGAACGGGUGAGUAAUGCAUCGGAACAUGUCCAUGUCGUGGGGGAUAGCCCGGCGAAAGCCGGAUUAAUACCGCAUACGCCCGAGAGGGGAAAGUGGGGGACCGCAAGGCCUCACGCGAUUGGGUUGGCCGAUGUCCGAUUAGCUAGUUGGCGGGGAAUGGCCCACCAAGGCGAUGAUCGGUAGCUGGUCUGAGAGGAUGAUCAGCCACACUGGGACUGAGACACGGCCCAGACUCCUACGGGAGGCAGCAGUGGGAAUUUUGGACAA
rnacentral:rRNA from 1 species